rnacentral:rRNA from 1 species
AUUGAACGCUGGCGGAAUGCUUUACACAUGCAAGUCGAACGGCAGCACGGGGGCAGCCCUGGUGGCGAGUGGCGAACGGGUGAGUAAUACAUCGGAACGUGCCCGGUCGUGGGGGAUAACGUAGCGAAAGUUACGCUAAUACCGCAUACGAUCUGAGGAUGAAAGCGGGGGACCUUCGGGCCUCGCGCGAUCGGAGCGGCCGAUGUCAGAUUAGGUAGUUGGUGGGGUAAAGGCCUACCAAGCCGACGAUCUGUAGCUGGUCUGAGAGGACGACCAGCCACACUGGGACUGAGACACGGCCCAGACUCCUACGGGAGGCAGCAGUGGGGAAUUUUGGACAAUGGGCGCAAGCCUGAUCCAGCCAUUCCGCGUGCAGGACGAAGGCCUUCGGGUUGUAGACUGCUUUUGUACGGAACGAAAAGGCUCUGGCUAAUACCUGGGGCUCAUGACGGUACCGUAAGAAUAAGCACCGGCUAACUACGUG